UACGAAGGGGGCUAGCGUUGCUCGGAAUUACUGGGCGUAAAGCGCACGUAGGCGGAUUGUUAAGUCGGGGGUGAAAUCCUGGAGCUCAACUCCAGAACUGCCUUCGAUACUGGCGAUCUCGAGUUCGGGAGAGGUGAGUGGAACUGCGAGUGUAGAGGUGAAAUUCGUAGAUAUUCGCAAGAACACCAGUGGCGAAGGCGGCUGACUGGUCCGGUUCUGACGCUGAGGCGCGAAAGCGUGGGGAGCAAACAGG
rnacentral:rRNA from 1 species